rnacentral:tRNA from 1 species
CCUUCGAUAGCUCAGUUGGUAGAGCGGAGGACUGUAGAUGCUAUAUCGGUAAUCCUUAGGUCGCUGGUUCGAAUCCGGCUCGAAGGA